rnacentral:rRNA from 1 species
UUUAACUCAAGUGGCGGACGGGUGAGUAACACGUAAGAAUUUGCCUUUAGGAGGGGGACAACAACUGGAAACGGUUGCUAAUACCCCAUAUGCUUUCGAGUGAAAUGGAUUUCCGCCUAGAGAGAAGCUUGCGGCUGAUUAGCUUGUUGGUGAGGUAAUGGCUCACCAAGGCGACGAUCAGUAUCUGGUUUGAGAGGACGAUCAGACACACUGGAACUGAGACACGGUCCAGACUCCUACGGGAGGCAGCAGUGGGGAAUUUUCCGCAAUGGGCGAAAGCCUGACGGAGCAAUACCGCGUGAGGGAUGACGGCCUAUGGGUUGUAAACCUCUUUUUUCAGGGAGGAAUCAAUGACGUGUACCUGAAGAAUAAGCAUCGGCUAACUCCGUGCCAGCAGCCGCGGUAAGACGGAGGAUGCAAGUGUUAUCCGGAAUCACUGGGCGUAAAGCGUCUGUAGGUGGUUUAAUAAGUCAACUGUUAAAUCUUGAGGCUCAACCUCAAAAAUCGCAGUCGAAACUAUUAGACUAGAGUAUAGUAGGGGGUAAAAGGGAAUUUCCAGUGGAGCGGUGAAAUGCGUAGAGAUUGGAAAGAACACCGAUGGGCGAAGGCACUUUACUGGGCUAUUACUAACACUCAGAGACGAAAGCUAGGGUAGCAAAUGGGGAUUAGAUACCCUGGUAGUCCCCU